AGCGUACACGGUGGAUGCCCUGGCAGUCAGAGGCGAUGAAGGACGUGCUAAUCUGCGAUAAGCGUCGGUGAGGUGAUAUGAACCGUUAUAACCGGCGAUUUCCGAAUGGGGAAACCCAGUGUGUUUCGACACACUAUCAUUAACUGAAUCCAUAGGUUAAUGAGGCGAACCGGGGGAACUGAAACAUCUAAGUACCCCGAGGAAAAGAAAUCAACCGAGAUUCCCCCAGUAGCGGCGAGCGAACGGGGAGGAGCCCAGAGCCUGAAUCAGUGUGUGUGUUAGUGGAAGCGUCUGGAAAGGCGCGCGAUACAGGGUGACAGCCCCGUACACAAAAAUGCACAUACUGUGAGCUCGAUGAGUAGGGCGGGACACGUGAUAUCCUGUCUGAAUAUGGGGGGACCAUCCUCCAAGGCUAAAUACUCCUGACUGACCGAUAGUGAACCAGUACCGUGAGGGAAAGGCGAAAAGAACCCCGGCGAGGGGAGUGAAAAAGAACCUGAAACCGUGUACGUACAAGCAGUGGGAGCCUCUUAAUGGGGUGACUGCGUACCUUUUGUAUAAUGGGUCAGCGACUUAUAUUCUGUAGCAAGGUUAACCGAAUAGGGGAGCCGAAGGGAAACCGAGUCUUAACUGGGCGUUAAGUUGCAGGGUAUAGACCCGAAACCCGGUGAUCUAGCCAUGGGCAGGUUGAAGGUUGGGUAACACUAACUGGAGGACCGAACCGACUAAUGUUGAAAAAUUAGCGGAUGACUUGUGGCUGGGGGUGAAAGGCCAAUCAAACCGGGAGAUAGCUGGUUCUCCCCGAAAGCUAUUUAGGUAGCGCCUCGUGAAUUCAUCUCCGGGGGUAGAGCACUGUUUCGGCAAGGGGGUCAUCCCGACUUACCAACCCGAUGCAAACUGCGAAUACCGGAGAAUGUUAUCACGGGAGACACACGGCGGGUGCUAACGUCCGUCGUGAAGAGGGAAACAACCCAGACCGCCAGCUAAGGUCCCAAAGUCAUGGUUAAGUGGGAAACGAUGUGGGAAGGCCCAGACAGCCAGGAUGUUGGCUUAGAAGCAGCCAUCAUUUAAAGAAAGCGUAAUAGCUCACUGGUCGAGUCGGCCUGCGCGGAAGAUGUAACGGGGCUAAACCAUGCACCGAAGCUGCGGCAGCGACACUGUGUGUUGUUGGGUAGGGGAGCGUUCUGUAAGCCUGCGAAGGUGUGCUGUGAGGCAUGCUGGAGGUAUCAGAAGUGCGAAUGCUGACAUAAGUAACGAUAAAGCGGGUGAAAAGCCCGCUCGCCGGAAGACCAAGGGUUCCUGUCCAACGUUAAUCGGGGCAGGGUGAGUCGACCCCUAAGGCGAGGCCGAAAGGCGUAGUCGAUGGGAAACAGGUUAAUAUUCCUGUACUUGGUGUUACUGCGAAGGGGGGACGGAGAAGGCUAUGUUGGCCGGGCGACGGUUGUCCCGGUUUAAGCGUGUAGGCUGGUUUUCCAGGCAAAUCCGGAAAACCAAGGCUGAGGCGUGAUGACGAGGCACUACGGUGCUGAAGCGACAAAUGCCCUGCUUCCAGGAAAAGCCUCUAAGCAUCAGGUAACAUCAAAUCGUACCCCAAACCGACACAGGUGGUCAGGUAGAGAAUACCAAGGCGCUUGAGAGAACUCGGGUGAAGGAACUAGGCAAAAUGGUGCCGUAACUUCGGGAGAAGGCACGCUGAUAUGUAGGUGAAGCGACUUGCUCGUGGAGCUGAAAUCAGUCGAAGAUACCAGCUGGCUGCAACUGUUUAUUAAAAACACAGCACUGUGCAAACACGAAAGUGGACGUAUACGGUGUGACGCCUGCCCGGUGCCGGAAGGUUAAUUGAUGGGGUUAGCGGCAACGCGAAGCUCUUGAUCGAAGCCCCGGUAAACGGCGGCCGUAACUAUAACGGUCCUAAGGUAGCGAAAUUCCUUGUCGGGUAAGUUCCGACCUGCACGAAUGGCGUAAUGAUGGCCAGGCUGUCUCCACCCGAGACUCAGUGAAAUUGAACUCGCUGUGAAGAUGCAGUGUACCCGCGGCAAGACGGAAAGACCCCGUGAACCUUUACUAUAGCUUGACACUGAACAUUGAGCCUUGAUGUGUAGGAUAGGUGGGAGGCUUUGAAGUGUGGACGCCAGUCUGCAUGGAGCCGACCUUGAAAUACCACCCUUUAAUGUUUGAUGUUCUAACGUUGUCCCCUAAUCGGGGU
rnacentral:rRNA from 1 species